ACUCAAAUGAAUUGACGGGGGCCCGCACAAGCGGCGGAGCGUGCGGUUUAAUUCGACGCGACGCGCAGAACCUUACCCGGGCUUGACAUGCCCCUGCAAGCGCUCGAAAGAGCGUCGCCUUCGAGGGUGGGGCACAGGUGCUGCAUGGCUGUCGUCAGCUCGUGCCGUGAGGUGUUGGGUUAAGUCCCGCAACGAGCGCAACCCCCGCGGCCAGUUGCCGAGAUGUUUCUGGCCGGACUGCCGGUAGCAAGCCGGAGGAAGGUGGGGAUGAUGUCAAGUCAGCAUGGCCCUUACGUCCGGGGCGACACGCACGCUACAAUGGCCGGGACAACGGGUCGCCAAGCCGUGAGGCGGAGCGAAUCCCCCAAACCCGGUCUCAGUUCGGAUCGGGGGCUGCAACCCGCCCCCGUGAAGCCGGAGUCGCUAGUAACCGUGGGUCAGCAUUACCGCGGUGAAUACGUUCCCGGGCCUUGUACACACCGCCCGU
rnacentral:rRNA from 1 species